UUUCCUUAAUUGCAUAACUUGUGGUUAUUGCUAGAAGGAAGAGGUUCCCAGGUAACCAGCAAUAGGAUGAGAGGUGAUGGCCUCAAGUUGCACCAGAGGAGGUUCAGCUCAAGUGUGAGAACUUCCUCCUGUGAAAGCAGUCAGGCACUGGCACAGGCUGCCCAGGGAGUGGUGGGAUCACCAUCCUGAGAAGUGUUCCAGGGCUGUGGAGAUGUGGCAUGGAGGGAUAUGGGGCUUGCAGCCAGAUCUGCCAGAGGUGACCGCAGGCCACGCAACACUACACUUCCUAUCAGCUCCAGCUUCACCCUAUAGGCUUGUGGACCUGAUGCCACCUACUUCCUCACGUCAUUCUUAUUUUUUCUCUUUCUUGUCUCUCUCACACGUCGCCACAUAAGGAUGUGUCGUCCGUAGCAACAUGAUGUAAUGCUGAGCCCAACAGGCAAGUUAAAGCAAUGCCCCAGCAGCCUGGUGCUGGCACGCUUUUUCCGGAUCUCACAAUAGCUGACAAGGGAAUUUACACCUCCAGGGAAUUUGCACCUGACAGUCAGUGUGAGGCACAGCUGCUGCUCUUCACAUCUCUGCUGCUCUUUUCUGCUCUCUCGUGUUUUAUUUUCAAGGGAAAGCCAGAGCCCAGCGUAACAGGAGCUCCAUAAAAACUUCAUUUUCCACCAAAAAAAGGACUGUGCCUGUGUUGAGUAUCUUUCUGAGGCCUGCCAAACAGGAAUGCUUCUUACAAGAACUCUGUGCCUCUUUGGAAAGGCAAUAAGAGAGGGAUUUUAUGCCAUCGGAUCAAGAAGGCUGUUACUUUGUGAUACCUUCAGGUAGGACAGUGUCAGCCGUGCCCACACCCCGUGUUAUCAGUGCUCACCUUCCUAAGUGCAAUUAACAGCAGGAUUUGACCGUCAUCGCUGAUAUUUAGAUAAGAGAAUUCCCAAUCCAUCAGUUAUCUCUGCUCCUCCCUGAAGAACAGAUAAAACAGAAGAUAAAAGCCUUCGCCUGUUCUUUCUUUCCUGGGAAUGACUGCAGUGCAAAGGGGUUGAAACCUCUCCGUGGGAUCUCACAGUGCAUCCCAAGCUAGGGAGUGUGAUCUGCCUUCCAAAUAUUUGCUCAGCUAGCUCCAAGGCACGGCAGGGAGAGCAGUGAAGAAGAAGCCAUCGUGAUGCUGACGCUGGGGCCGGGCACGUUGCUUCUCUCCCAGCAAUCCACAGAGCACAGUGUGCCACGUACCGAGCAGCAUCAAACGCUCCGCGGCCUAAAAACCGAGGGAAAUGCCCCGUGGCCAGAGGGAAAUAUAA